GGGAAAGGAUCAGGUACUAAUUGAGGCACUGACAGGGUGAGCACUGAAGCAAUGCAAAACCAGUCCCAUGCCCACAGGAGAGUCUGAUUUUGCAGCAGUGAUGUGGAAGAGGGAGAGGGCAGUCUUGGCUCUUAGUGUGGUCAUGGGCAUGGGAAAUCUUCACUGCUGUAAAUAGUUUAAUUUACAGUGGAUUGCAGGAAAUGCUUUCCUUUGUCACCCUGACCAUAAUGCUGCAAAGAGUGUCUCUGUUUCUUCUCCAGCAAACAUUUUAGAUACUGAAAGAGCUCAAUACAGGAGAGGGGAAAAAAAAAAAAAAGUAAGAUUUUCACUCCUCCUGUAAUCAGGAUGGUACUUUAUCUAUACACUAGGUGUGAAGUGAUGCAUUGGUUUGAACCAUAAAUGUUCUUAAUUAGCUAAGAUGUAGAUGUUAAAUUAGGGUUCUAAAGGACCUUUUCUUGAAUUUAUGGAAAAUCCAUUCUGAGCUGGUACAGGACUACACCACGCAGACCCCUGGAACAAGUGUCUUAAUUAUUGGCUGUGACCUCCUGGGUCUCAGCAUGAUUAGCUCACCACCUUGCACCGUGGGAGACACUGUGGAAGUCUUCUGUUUACAAUCUGGUAAAAAAUGAGAUAGUUUUUUUUUUUCUCUGUUUAUUUCUGAACUAGCUCUGCCGAAUCAAUUAGCCUCCCAUACAUUUUUUUUUUCUAUAAAAGAAACCAAACUAAGGUUGGAAUGUAUGGUGGGGGCGGGGGAAGGGUGAGAAAGUUUGGAUGUUUUAAGUGUGUAGAGGAGAUAAUUGAGUUUUGUGUGUCUGAGUUUUGUCAGGAGUCUCCAUGACAACCUGUAGGGAACUUUGCAACCACAUCUUUCCUUGGAACACUUUAUACAAAGGAAAGCCAGCUAAGGUACAUCCAGAAUAACCUUAAAGGGCGUAUAGGCAUUAAAAUGAGGAAAGAAUUAUGCACUGUAAGUAGUGUGUAGCCCCAGGUCAGGAUGUGUUUUGGUCCAGCAGCCUAUCGUUCUCGUUUGCUUGGCUUGCUUAUGACAAAGAGAUGAGUCCUGGACUCUUCGGAUUCUUAAAACCACCAGAUGUGACAGUAUUAUUCUUCUCACUAUUGAAUAUUUGCAUAUGUGUUUACAAAAGUGCUGUUAUGGAGUCAAAGGUGGACUCUGUGAUGAAGGUAAAGGCAGACUCUCAUAAACUAGGUACUUGCCGUCCUUGUGACUGCCAUCUGUCACAUUAUCCAGUUAACUAAUCCUCAAUUAGUGCAAAAUAAAAAUGUGAUGCUUGAAUGGACAACAAAAAAGAACAACUAAGAAACAAUCAUGCCUCUGAAAAUAUGUAUUGAGACAGAAAGAUAUAUAUACUCGGUUUAUAUGAAGUUGAAAAGAAGGCACAGGGUAUCCAGAAAUGACAAGACAUGAUAAUCCCUACCAUUCCCUACUAAUGACCAAACUCUAACCUGAUGGCCAGAAAGAGGGUGAGCAAAUCUAGAUCUUUUCCAGAUUUAAGGUAAAUCAUAACAAUGUUUUCUUCCACUGUCCUACUUCCAUAUAGUGGGGGGAAAUGUGGGCAGGAUUGGCAGUAGUCUCCAAUUAAAUGUAUUCAUUUCACAUACUCAUUUAGCUACACACAUCCACACAUACAUGCAUCCACACACACGGUCUCACUUAUGAAGAAAAAAUAAAUCCACCCAACUGUUUCAUUUUCUACAAUUUUUUUUUUUUUUUUUUACUUUUGUAACUGCUUGCUUUUUCCAUUGCUUUCAGCUGUUCAUCAACCGAGUUUGAAGCAUCAUUUAGAUGUUAUUAAUUCUAGGAAACUAUGAAGAGAGAGACAGAAAACUACAUCUGUCUCUAGAAGUACUUACAUCUCUUUGGCAAGUAUGAAAAUCACAAUAAGAAUAUAGUCUGUGAGAGUUGCACAGACUAUAAAUAGUGCAAUUUGUUGUUAUCUGGUAAUAUUAUCAAUGAAGUUAUGGCUGCCAGAGACUAUAGUGGUGGCCGCCAUCUCUCUGUUGAAGGGAGUGGUGUGUCUCAGUGAGGUCAGAAGAGGCUAAUUUUGAAUUUACUUAAACUUUUCAAAGCCUCUUGGAAUGUUACUUCCAUAUCGGAAGUCUAGAAGGCCAGAGUCAGGGGAUUUUAUCAUCAAUCAUUUUGAACAUUUUUAUUAUAAUCAAAUAAACAAAUUGUCAGGCUCCUACUCUCACUUCAUUUGAGUGAGUUGAGUUUUUCUUUUUCCUUAAAUUUAGCAUGUUCUCUCAACAAGAGAAGCCCCUUGAACUUCAUUUGAGGAGAAAUAUGAUGGAGUUCUCUAUCAUGGGGUGUCAUGGUGCAUCAGGUUAAGAAUCAAGAGUUGUCACUGCAGUGGCUCAGUUUGCUGCUGUGGCACAGGAUUGAUCCCAUGGCCAUGAAUUUCUGCAAUGCAAAACAAAAAACACAAAACAAAAAUCAGAAUUUUCAGAUUGCUUUGUUCUGUAUUAGUAAUUAGUGCUAGUUCUAGCACUUAGCACUUUGGGACAUUUAGUGAGUCCUGGUUCUUCCUGGGGCCAGUUUUCUUUAAGUCAGAUGGAGAUGAAAAUGAUACCUUUCUGGUGGUGUUAUUUAUGGUAAGGAUUAAGUGCUUAGUACCUUGAACAGCAUAUAAUAAGGGUUAAUGAAUAUAGAUUAUUGUUAUACAUAGUAUAAGCAUUUAUAAGCAAUCAUUGUCGUUAGCAAGGUAAUUAGUGUUUGCUUAAUAAAUAUUUACAGAUGGUUUCUCUUUGCAAGACAAUGUCAAGACAGCACAGCAGAGCAAUAAAUAUAAUAUAGGACUUGCCAGUGCUGUGGUAAAUCUGGUAAAGAGGACUGUUGAAGAAACAAAUAAAUCAGGUCUAAGAAAUAAAAGGCCUUUUUUCUGUAUUUGUUUGUUUGUUUGUUUCAGUAUUUAAGGACAAGUUGCCAGUUUUAUUUUGUAUAUAAUUGUUUAUUGCAAAAAGGGACUGAUUUUCUGAUAUAUUGCAUUGACAUUAUUGUAAAAUUGAAGAUUUUAAUAAGAGGGGAAAAAAAGAGCCAGCAGUGUUGCUUUGUAGUGACUACCUCAUUUGCUGCAACAAGUAAAGUCGAUGCCUCACAUAUAGGCUUUUUUUUUUUCCCUGUGUUUAAUUACAAGUCAGAAUCUGAGAACGAAUUUUACUGUUUAAAUCUUGGCCAUGAGAGAUAUUGGAUUGUUCUGAAGACAGAAAGUUAAAACGCUGAGUGGAAAUGAUUAACUAUUUCAGGAACUACUAAGCUACUUUAUAGUCACUCUUUCUGUUAGGAUAGUUAGCGGGAUACAGAGAAAGCAUAUUGCAUUGUCCCCAUUCUUAAUUUUCUUAAUAGUAAAUUGGUGAGAUACAAUUGAUAUCCAUGAAACAAAGAAACAAGCAGUAUGCAAAAGCAUUGUCUCUGUGUGAUGGGCUUUUAUAAAAGGAAGAACAUGAUCUAGGCUCCUUAGACAGGCCUUCAUUCCAACAGUGGGUAAAGACUGAGCUACGUCUUGUUAUGAAAGUUAGACAGGGUUGUGAUAAGCCUGAGGCAAGGCCAGAUGCUUUAAGUUCAUAUGCUGGUCUUACCACUUACCAAAACAUAUCCUCUUAAGCAAGACACUUAACAUCUUUGAACCACAGUCCCUCAUAUGUUGACACAGUUAUUCUCUCAUAAAACAGUAGCGAGGAAACACUGUAUCAAUCUAUAUAAAUGGCCUAGUUACAUAAUAAACACUCAAUUAAGGGAAGCUUGACAAAAGCAUUGCUAAAUUUUUCUCCAUUUUUAGAACACUCUGAAGAUAGUAAAUAAACCUAAUAGUGCAUAAACCUAACAAAGAUAUAAUAAAAUGUAUAUAAUAUAGCACUAUCAAUUUACCUAUUAUUGACAAAAUACAUGUUCAUUGGAUAUAUGCAUAAUACUGUGUAGACUCUGAGGCAAAUAGGUGUUGAAGAGAGAAAUCAGUUUUCAAUGAGCCUACCCUCUAUUAGUUAAGGAAAGACAUGUACAACAUUUAUAAUGUAGAGAUGGACUAAAUUAUUUUGAUAAGAAAUAGUCUAAUUAUUUAGCAUUUGUAAGAGGGAGAGAAGCUAUGUUGUUGUGUGAUAUUGAUGUGUGGCCCUGAAUGUUUUCUGGACUGAGUUGACCCUUCAGCAGUUCACUGAGACAAGUUCUCUAGAAGGUGACUCACAGUUAAGUAGGGUUCAGAGACAAAACUUGAGACCAUGCCCCCUGGAUCCAUGAAAAGAGAAAAUGAUGAGCUGUGUUAACAGUCGUGCAGUUGAGGGCAAGUGAACACUGAAAAGGUCAUUGGGUUUGGUAGCUGCUAGUAUUCCCCAGAUUGUAAUUGCACAGAGUGGUAGAGGAGUAAGCAAAACUGUAAAAGAUGGAAUGGAAAGACUAGUGGAUAAGAGUUAUUGGUGGGAUUGGCAUUGAUAUAACAGCUGAAUGUGGGGUCUUGGUUGGUAAGAGACAAUGGAAGCCAGAAGAGGGCUGAUACAGGAAGAGAAUGAGGAACUGGUCUCUGAGGAGGAUGAAGAUGGUGGCAGCAAGCAGAAGCAGAGGUGGAAAAACUGGUUAGGGGCUAAAUGGUAAAUUUAGAGCCUCUGCUUCUAAUAGUUUGAGAGCCUCUUGGCAGGGAGGUCUAAGAUUUUCCAGUUGUCUUACUCAUUCAGGGAGCUAAUUAAACAUUUGCGAAAUGUUCUGUAAAAUGGGAAACAUAUAUAUACACACACACAUAUAUGUAUAUAAAGUCCUAAAUAAAGACUGAAGACUAGAAUAUUAAAUGAGGAUGCCAAAAACCCAUGCAACCACCUGACCCAUAAGACAACAAUGUACCUGUCAAAAUAAAUGCAGGUAAUGGCCACACACACAGAGCAAUGGAAGAAAGCAAGGCACUAAAUAUA
ensembl:lncRNA